rnacentral:lncRNA from 1 species
UAGAAGUCAGGUCGGAUUAAGCCAUAGUACGGAAAAAACUAUGCUACCUGUGAGCCCCGUCCAAGGACGUUAAAAGAAGUCAGGCCACUACAAGUGCCAUAGCUUGAGCAAACUAUGCAGCCUGUAGCUCCACCUGGGAAGGUGUAAAAAAUCUGGGAGGCCACAAACCAUGGAAGCUGUACGCAUGGCGUAGUGGACUAGCGGUUAGAGGAGACCCCUCC